GUCUCAGCCUCCCGAGUAGCUGGGACUACAGGUGCGCGCCACCAUGCCCAGCUAAUUUUUGAUUUUUAGUAGAAACGGGGUUUCACCAUGUUGGCCAGGCUGGUCUUGAACUCCUGACCUCAAGUGAUCCACCUGCUUCGGCCUCCCAAAGUGCUGGGAUUACAGGCGCGAGCCACUGCGUCCGGCCUGAAUUGCCACAUGAGUAUUUAUGCACACCCAAAACAAAAUGACCCGGAAAGGUAGAACAUAAGGCAGGUACGGUGAUAUUAACAUCAGACAAAAUAGAAGUGAAAACAACAAUGAUUACAUAGGACCUAGAAGAAUAUUCCAUCACUGAAAAAAAGAAUGGUCUGCCAAACGUAACUGUGUGACCAUCAGAAGUGUGUCCACAGAGGCUGGACUGCAUCAGGGCUCCCAGGGCAUCUCUCCUCACGUCUUGCCAUCAGAACUGGGUCACAUGGAGGCCGGGCACAGUGGCUCAUGCCUGUAAUCCCAGCACUUUGGGAGGUGGAGGUGGGUAGAUCAUUUGAGGCCAGGAGUUCAAGACCAGCCUGGCCAACCUGGUGAAAUGCCAUCUCUACUAAAAAUAUAAAAUUAGCUGGGCAUGGCGGCGCAUGCCUAUAAUGCCAGCUACUUGGGAGGCUGAGGCGGGAGAAUCACUUGAACCAGGAGGUGGAGGUUACAGUGAGCCAAGAUGAUGCCACUGCACUCCAGCCUGGGCGACAAGAGCGAAACUCCAUCUCAAAAAAAAAAAAGAACUGGGUCACAUGGUUUGCCACCACUCACCCGCCUCUCCCCUGUCUGGGCAGACUGGUGGGCUCUGUGCCACUAAGAUGUUUACCUGAGACUAAAGCGGCAAGCGCAGACACGGAGCUGGAUCACGUCAGGAAGGACUGUGAGGUGCACAGAGGAUUGGACAGAUCCAGAACCACAGGGAGAACCUUUCACACGCAAUCUCAGAAUUUACAAGGUUGGCUCAACAUAACCAAGCAAGGACAUAGAAGAUUUAAACAUUACAAUUAGCAUGCCUAAUCAAAAAGUCAUGAAUACCCAAAUUAAGCUGUGUAACCAAGAGACAACACGUGUUCUUUUCAGACGUGCAUGCAGCGGUUCACAAAAGUGUAGCGGGUACGAGACUGCAAUAAAAAUCUCCAUAACUUCAGAAAACCAGCUGGGCCAUGGCUCAUGCCUGCUGUCCCAGGGCUAUGGGAGGCCAAGGCCAGAGGAUCGCUUCAGCCUAGAAGUUCAAGCUGCAGUGAGCUAUUAUUGUGCCAUCUCACUCCAGCCUGGGUGACAAAGCGAGACCCCAUCUCAAAAAUAAUAAUAAUUAUUGUUAUUUUUUGUUUUUUUUGAGAUGGAGUUUCGCUGUGGUUCCCUAG
rnacentral:lncRNA from 10 species